rnacentral:lncRNA from 1 species
UGUCAGAAGAGCUGAUAACUAUUACUAAUCCAUUCUUGUCGCAAGUACAAGCUGUGGUUCAUGAUGGAGAUUCGAAAGAUGAUGUCCUCCCUCAAGAAGUGAUCGGGUGCACAAGUACAUCAUUACAAUUGCCUGAAUCACAUGGUGGAAUGCUGCAAAAUGAUUGCCAGGCUGGAGAGGGAGAAAAAGUCCCGACCACUUUGGAUUCCUCCCAUGCAUCUGUCAUGGAUGCAGCUUCCGCUGAUGCUUUGGAAUUGUCACACCAAGAAGUUGUCAAACCUCUCAAUGAAAUGGCCCCAGAAAAAAGUUUAAAGGACAUGGAGCUUUGUCAGCACUCUGCUUAUUCAGAUGACAAUGUCAUGACUUGUAGUACAACUGAAUUACCUUCAGAUGUAGCAAACAAGCAUGCCAUGCCAACUUCAGAGGAAAAAUUAUCAUGGCCAACUAGUGAAGAUGGCAAACUGCAUGGAGUUCAACCAAUGAAGCUGCCGAGACCUCGAAAUCCUUUAAUAGAUGCUGUUGCUGCUCAUGACAAGAGCAAAGUUCGUAUCUGAGUGCUAUUCUUUCUUUCUGACUGCUGUAUAUCAGCUUGGUUCAUUCAUGUUAUCUAACAAUUUGAACUGUUGCAGUUAAGGAAAGUAACAGAGCGAUUUAGACCUCAGAUACAGAAGGAAGAUGAAAGAGAUUCACUGCUGGAACAGAUAAGGGCCAAGGUGAAAAUAAUGUUUGGGAUCUUCUUUGUUCUCUGAAUAUAUAUCUUGAUUUAGUUUACGUAAUGACUGGAUCCGUUGGAUGUUGCAGUCUUUCAACCUGAAACCUGCAGUUGUGACAAGACCUAGUAUUCAGGGUCCUAAAACUAAUUUGAAGGUUGCUGCAAUCCUGGAGAAAGCAAAAACAAUACGCCAGGUUGGUCGGUCCGUCAUUCUGUCUGUUGUGUGUGUGUCUCUCUCUCAGGCUUAUAUUUGCAUUAAUGAAUGUGUUUCUUGCAGGCUUUUGCUGGAAGUGAUGAGGAUGAUGAUGAUAGCUGGAGUGAUUCAUGAAGUCUUGCGCAAGUUUCAUACGGAUAACCUGGCAAUUUCCCAUCAUCCAUGUGAUGCAUAUGCAGUAUAUCUGCGCUGCAACAAUUCUUUGUUGCUUUGUGGAAUAGCGUGGAGGGCAUAGGGAACUCCUCUUCCUCGAAAAGAAUCCUUGCCAUUUGCGGCUUGUGCCUUUCUGUUGGGGUCUUACUCCUUUAAUACAUACAAACAUGCAUAUACUCUCUCUCUCCCCCUCUCAUAUAGCAAUAGGAGCUAAAUAUAUUUAGUUUUAGCUUGCAAGUGCUUUAUCAAUCGAGUCCAGUGUAGAUAUUAUCACGAUUGAUCUUACCGAUUUUGUGUAACGAGGUACCACUUUCGUUUCUGUAUACAGUUUGUUUCGCUAGCUCCUGGAGAAGUUGUGGUGUAAUUGUUGAAUUCAAUUACUUGUGCAUAUAUGUAACCAUUUUAUGCUUUUGCGCGUACAUGGUGAAAGGAUUUCAUCUGAUAAAUAUCCCUGUACUAGUUUGGUAGAAGGUUUCAGGUUUGAAAAAUUCUGUUGAAGACCUGGAAUUUAUGCUUGUAAGGAAAUUUGUGCAGAUUGAACGAUCACAGGUUGGACUGUUUUGCCAGUUUGAGCCAUUUGAAGGUCCAGACUGCGUCAUUCUAAAAAUCAAGCUGAGGGGUGGUGAUUUAAAUGAAACAUGUAAUUGUUAACGAAGGUACGGUAAGUAGAGCACCUUGUGUUUUUAUAGCUGAAGACAAGCGGGUACAGUGCUUGGUGCUCCGUGUAGCACUUUUUGAAGCUCUAGAUUUAGGGUGCGUUUUUGUGAAUUAAGUGAGGCCAAAGCACACGAAAGAUCUUCUCGGAAGACCAAAAACGCUUCCAAUGACAAUUAUUAUGUCUUUUUAGAAAAGAAAAAGAAGGAAAAUGAAAAAGUCAUCACAAUUGUUUUUUUUUUUUUUAAUCCAUUACUAGCACGCCUUUAAUCACGUCACACAACACACAUUCUCGUUGAUAUCGACAGCAAAGCCACAGCCCAGAGCGCACAUUUUACUAGUCGACAACUUGAUUAGAUUUUAACCCCAGAAAAAAAAAACAAAAACGACUUUGAUUAGAUUAACGUCCCUUGCUUACGCUGCACCGACUGCCCUGUCAAAAUCCACCCAGCCGGGCCAGAACAGAACUCACACAACCCCACCAGUCCCGCGUCCCAAAACCAGCAGGGGAGGAAGCCAAGGAAAUGGAAGCAGAGGAGAGCAACGGUGAGAAGGAGGUGACGACAGUGCCACUUUCUGAAGUGGUGUCGGAGUGCGUCAAAAGGUGGUUUAGUGACACCCUCAAAGAGGCCAAAGCAGGAGAUGUUAAUAUGCAGAUUUUGGUGGGUCAGAUGUACUUUAACGGCUACGGUGUUACCCGGGAUGCCCAAAAGGUACUCUCUACUAUGGCUGUCACUAUUUUCGGGGCCUUUUUUCCCAAGUUCUUUUUCUCUUUUUUUUCCCCUUCGGUUGCUUAUCAGUGGUUUGACUUUGUUAUUCGUCGUCCUUGUUAUUCUGAUGUUGGAGGUUGUAAACCAGUUCUGAUGCUGCUGAAGAAAAGCUGAGCGAAGUUCGGGAGGGGGGAUGUACUUUUUUGGCCAACAAUUAGGGAAUUAAUCUUUGUAAUAUAUUUUGCCAUGAUGAUAUUUGGAAUUUGGGUUUUCACUUUUCUUUGACAUUGUUAGAUAGUUUAAUUUAUAUGGGUUUGCAUAUGCAGUAAUUGUUGCCUUUUCCUUUUGAACUAGUAAAUGGACUGUCAAGAAGAAUAACCUUAAAUGUUAGAUGAAUGCGUUAACGAUUCAGUAUUUUUUUUUUGUGUUUUAGAAGAUUUAUUUUGCAAUAGCCGCGUUUGGAAUUGGCUUUGUUGCAUUGCUUGAGCACCAUAAAGGUGUAAAGUUUAUUUUAUCUAUUUAAAGUUCUUUUGAUUUCUUUGGUUGAAUCGCAAAAUACUCAGUUUAAAUUUUGUACACCCAAAAUAUGUAUGCUUCUUCAAAAUACUUAGUUUAAAUUUUGUGCACCCAAAAUAUGUAUGCUUCUUCUCCCUGAUUCUGCAUUUACUUUCUCGGUUUUAUGUCUCAUUUUCAGCCCUCUGUAUGCCUUUCUGUGGAUUUAUUUAAUUAAUUUAAAUCUCAGGGAGGAAUUUGGAUGAGAAGAGCUUCAAGAGUGAGAUCUUCAGUUUGGAAAGUUAGCAAUAAACGCCCAGGUGAUCUUCUUCUCUUUUUUGACUGGCACUUUAGAAUCGUCCAUGUAGUCUAUUUCAUCUAGAUUUGACAAAUUGACCAACUUGUGCUUGUUGACUUCCAGGUUACAAUGCAAGUGACUCAGAUUCUGAAGAGUUGAUUGGUUAAUAGUCAUCUGAUGAGCAGGGUAAUCGUCUUUAAAUCUAUCGAGAGGUGAGUUAAAUGCUUUAUUCCCCCUUAGCCAGCGUAUAGAUUGUCUUUUGCGCAUCCAUUUGUUGUAGAAAUUCUCACUUAUGAUGUUACAUAUCAGUUGCACGUACUUAUUUGCAUAGUUUAUGCUUAGAUAAGACUUCUACAAGUGCAUGAACUUUAUUUGGUCGUGGAUAUGUGUUGUUUUAGAUUGCAUGGUUUCUUUACUCAAGUAUCAAGAAUCUAAGUUUAAUGAUAAAGUUAUUUUUAAGCUGGCUGUCAUUAAUAUGCCUGUUAGGGCUUCCUAUUUUCAUUACACAUUCCUAAAACUCAAAUCAUAUGGGUUUCCGAUUAUGUUCUUUGAAAGGUUCUUGUGAUAGGUCGCAAUGAGUGUUAUUAAGCGUUGGUUGUGGAAUCUACCCAUUGACACUCUGUUCACCUAUUACAACCACAUGUUUCACUAAAUCUGUAGGAACUUAAAUCAUCUCAGCAAUAUUGGCCUUGUGUGGUACCCUCUGGUUCUUAAAUCUAAUAAACUUUUAUCUUCCAAGGGAAGAGAUCUGUUCGAUGUCUUAGUUUUAUCAUUAGUGACCAAAUGGCCAAACACAUUAGUCUACUCCUGCCAACUGUUUUUACUCAACGUGUAUUCAGUUAAGGUUUUGGUAUGUCAAUUUUCACUGUAAGAAGAGUUUCCUUAUUUGAUCUAUCUAUAUAACCUUAUGAAUUGGUUUCUCUUUGAUGGCUUUUAAUUUUAGUUUCUUGAUCUUUAACAGGGCCUUCUUUUUGUUCAUAUGCAUUUUACAUUCUAGUUCUGUGCGUGCUUUAAUUUUAGAGUCCAAAAUAUUUGUUUGGUUUGCUGGAGUGCUUAGAGGGUCUAACUGCUUGUUUAAUAAGCACACUUGUUUCCUAGAGAUAAUUAACAUUGUCACUGUGUUACCAUUUUUUAAGAUUCUAUAAUUUUGUUUAGUGGACUAUAUACUGUUAGAACCAACAAAUUAUCAUGUAACCUUGUACAUCAAGAGCCAUGUGUAUAGUCUGGCUUUAAUGGCUAUGGUAUGGGGUUUGUGUCUAGAAAGCAUAAAAGACUCUCGUGUAUAGGCCACCAUACAGCAUGGAGUUAUUGGAAUCUGUAACUUCUACUGGUAAACAGGGAGUACUUGUAAAAGAAGCAGAUAAAGGUCCUUAAACUUGGAAUAAUUGCAUUGGUUUGACCUUCAAAUUAGGUUUUUUCCCUUUCUAGCAGCUUAAGAAUCAAAAAGUUCUCAGUGAAGUUGACUAACAGCACAAUGGUUUUGAAGAAGAUUCAGCUACUACCUUGAUAGUAAUAUAAUUGGAUUAGCAUGGUCAAUUGUGUUCGUAGACAGCUAAUUAGGCACAUUAAUAAUAAUAACGUUCUUGGGCAGCUGACCAAAAACCUUUUUUGAUGCUCAAAGAUGAAUAAUUGUUUAUAAGAUUUGGAUUUUGAGCUGAUAAAGGUCUCCUCUAAGUCUGGAUGAUGUUCUGAUGAAUAUGGUGCAGGUAUCUUUUUUCUUUUUGGUUACAGAAUAGUACUAAUAAUAGUACUAGUAUCAGUACACAGAAAAACUUCCUUUGUGACUCUGGGAAUUUGUCCACAUGUUAUUGCAAGUGGUGUUCACUUUGUCUAAUAACUAAACUCGUGAAUGACUAAUUAUGAUUUUUGACAUACAUUGAUGGGAAUUUAGAAGACUGGUCAUACAUGAGGAUUUUAGAAAUUUUACUACAUUACUAAAAGCUCACUCAAGUAAGAGUAAUUGCUGGCAAAAUAACAUAGAACUAUUUAAAGAAUGUGUUUUAACACAAGCUGUAUGGCAGAAAAGGUUAGCAAUUUUAUUAGUCUUUAGCAAUUAAUUGGUAAAAAAUAAGGUAGUUGUAUGAUCGUUGAACAUGUAAAAUGCAAACAUAUGGUUAACAACACAAAUUCAUUGAGUAAAUUACUAUUCACCCCAUGUGUUUUUGCAUGUUACCAUAUGACCCCCCUAACAGUGCAAAAUAUCCACGUAACCGGACGUGUUUUUAUGUAGAGCGGAAAGUGAAUGGAAAACAACUCUAGUUAGGACAAUUAACCUGAACGCGCUCCAUACUAUCCAUUUAACCUCUCUUGUUGUUUCAAUAUAUGCGUAUAAUUCCCCUAUGGUUCUAUACAAAGUGAGUUAGCCCCUGUCAUAUUAGUGCUUAAGUAAGGGAAAAAUUGAUAUUUCAACUUACGGUGUUAUAGAGGCUAGUUUCUGUCAAAUUUCGACAUUACACAAAUUUACAGGGGUUAUGUGGAAUUUUUUAGACUUUUUUGUUUGGGGGGGGUUGGGGCGGUGUCAUGUGGUAGUAGACAAAACCAUGGGUACAUAGUAAUUUAACCAAAUGCUUUAUAUAAAACCAUAUAAAGGCGGAAAAAAGGCAUAAAACAAUUGCCAAACCUUGUUACUGAUGUUUACCAUGUAUUUAGACUCUUGUGGAUUAACCAAUUCCAGCUAGUUGUGAGCAUUUGGCUUUCUAAAGUUGUGAUUGCAUCUUACGUUACAAUAACCUGUUCAGACAGCAAAUUUAGUGUUCAUCUGUUAUCACUUAUAUCACGGCUUGGUCGAUUUAGUUGCUUGAUUAUCCAGUGGGUGGCGUGCAUUUCUCGAGUACUUGCUAGGCAAUUUGAUGUUGUUCUCUGGAUGAUGGAAAUUUCUAGGCAAUUUGAUGUUACAGUUCUCUGGAUUUUUUGCAGGGUCCUUGGGCUUUGAUUUAGCUGCUGGGAAAUUGACCUGUGUUGAGUUCCUAUGACUCUACUACCAUUCUUCUACCUCUAGAGCUUGCAUAUUGUUUGUUGUGGUACAUUUAUUUUUUUUUAUUCGUGGCUCAUGGUGGGGAUAACCUUGGCGUCGAAAGGAUAUGAUGGGCAUUUGAUGCACUGAUAUAAAGAUUGAUUGAAAAUUUUGGAUGGAAGCCAUUGACAUUGGAAAUACGCUUUGCCUAGAACAACUAAACAGCUACUCCAUGUAGUAUUUGGCGUAAUCUCUAUUAUUUUGAAGACUUGGGAUGUUGAUAGGUCUAUGGUAUUGAUUGAGUUUCGAGUAUUGAUGCUAAGAUUCCUUUGUGCUAAAAAGAGCUAUGGAAUGUGUGGUUGUGUUGAUAGCCUUAUUACUGGCAAAGAUAUUUUCAAUUUCAGGCGCUUAAAAUUAGUAGUGAUAGCGGAACUGGUCCAGAAGAUCGCACCUUUUUUCUUUUUUGGUUGGUUUGGUAAGCAGGGAUGGUUUGGAGAAAGUAGUAUGCUUCUAAUGGUGACGGGAGGGGAGGGGAUGAAUGAUAGAAGAUCGCAUUUUAGGAGAGAACAUCAAUUUUGUUUGGCAUGGCAGAGCGGUAAAUUAAUAUUUUUGACUACGAAAUGUAAUACUGCUGUAGUUAUAGUAGUGAGUAGAGUGUUACUAAUUACUUAAAAAAUCAUUAUGCAAAACCAUAAUCAAAGGCAUCUGACUUUUGUGAUAUUUGUCGUAAUUACCUAAGACUUCUCCCCGGUGAACUGACGACCGACCCCUGUUCAAGUUGCCGUGACAUUGAAAAAUUGGUCUCUAACCACUCAAAGCAGGAAGCGAAGCAAAGUUAAUAAUUUUGCAUUGGAUCAAAACAGUAGUAAAUACAGUUUGUGUCCGACUGGAAACGUGAUGAGUCCAAAUGAGAGCAGUUUUUUUUUUUUUUUUUUUUGGGUUAAUCAAUCUCUACAUCUAUAUCCGGACCAGGUGCCUCAGUAUUCGACAACUAAUGCAAAUUUUGGUACAUGGAAUUUGCAACUGUUUGAUCGAAAUGAAUAAGAGAAUUUUACUAAACACGUGCAAAAUAGUUGGCCUAAAGAUAUUUAGUUUAAAAAUAGUGUUAGGACUGGUCCAGAAAUAAAUAAACUAAAAUUAGAACAAAAUAGGCGGUAUAAUCGACCAUAUAAUGGUUAGGCGAUAGACACCAGUCAUAUAAUAAUUAGACGGUAAAAUCGACUAUAUAAAAGGGUUGUGGCAACCCAAUAAAGACAAAUAAUGAAGCAAAAUAAAAGAUACCAAAAUUAACGUGGUUCGGUCAAAUUGAUCUAUAUCCACGGGCGAGGGAGGAGUAAUAUUUCUACUACGAAGAAAAAAAAUACAAAAGUCGUAAGAAAGUGGUUCCUAGGACAAAACGACACUUACAAAAGGUUUAGAAAAUAUUUCUAAACUCAAAACAAGAAAACCUAAAAUAUUUGAUUAUAAAUUGACUAGAUGACCUAAGAAACUAAUAACUCAUAUAAUACUCUCUUGAGUUGUGCGCUUAAAACCUUCAUAGACCCCCCCUUAUUUAUAAGAAAUAGAGGGAGCCUUUCCUUGAACUUCAGCCGAUGUGGGAUGAAAAAAUUAUGCCACAAAAAUCAAUAUUUUGGGCGUUGAAUAGUCAACAAAUGGCGCAAAAGAAAUUCAUUGAUUUUUAAGAUUUGAUCCUUGUGCUAAAAUUGUUAGUUUAGGAUGCAAAGUACUAAUGAUUGAUAGUUGGAGGAUGAAGAUUACAAUUAACCCUAUAAUUUGGGGGAAAUAAAAGUGUCCAAGACUCUGAGAUUUGCCUGAGCCGGCUAAUCUGCCGCAAUUAAAGAUGAAUAUAUCUAAUGACAAAUCGUGGACUAAGAUUCUGCAUAUGAGACGUGCCGUAAUUAAAAGAUUGAGCAAUAUAAUAUCUAGUUACAUCAUGAACAAACCCAUGAUUAAUUAAAAGGUAUUAUUGGUCCCGUAGGCAUUGGUGUCCCAACACGUCAUGGUUGGUAAGGUCGCAGGUCAACAACCCUCUGGCCCGAUAUUGGGCCGUUGACCGCAGCCCCCAUUUGCUCCGGAUCCACGUUCUAAGGUUAAAUGAUUUUAACCUUAUGACUGAUGGUGAUGGGACUUUUGUACUUUUUGUUCUUUCUAGCAAUCGGAGUACACUUUUGUUUCUGUCUUUAUCUAUAAACACUUUAGCCUUUGUUUCCCCUUUUGAGCUUUCAGAGCAAUCUUCCGUAGUACACCGACAGAGCAAUAAAAUCAGCGUCACAGACUGACGACUAACAACGAAACCAUUACAAAUUUGACCCAAAAUUUUUUUUUUUUAUCGUUCAAAUUGCACAAAAAUGUUGUGUAAAUUGAAUAUUCUUAAAAGAUUGUCAAAAUAUUCUCAAAGGAUUAUCGUUUGAAUAUGAAAAAAAUGGAUAGAUGAAUGGAGAGAAAUUCAUUUGAGAGGAUCUUAAUCCCAAAUUUGUUAUUAGCACUCCACACAACAGAGCACAAAAACUACUCGCAUGGAUUCUCCACCACGUAAACACUCAGCUAAUUAAAUACUCCCAACUGUAAGUAGGCGACCUCAGCUCAGCUGGUUCCGAUGUCUCAGGGUGCCAGGCUCCUUCUCUUUGACCAGAGAUUCAAAGCACAAAAGUCAGAAGCAUAACCCAGUUCUGGGACUCUAUAUCUCCAUCGAGCAAUACUAAAUAGAAACAGCGGCAGCGGCAAAUCUAUCGUAUCGAGAUGUUGAACGAGCCGUUAAUUUCUGAACCUCAAGAGCAGCAGCGGCAGCCUCUUUCCUUUCCCCCGUCUCUCCUCAAUUAUCUCUACGUUGGUCACUUCCUAGCCAGAUGGGGUGCCAGGUAAUAUGUCCCCUCAUUCUCGUUUCAUCAUUAGCGAAGCCUUUAAAUCAGGGUUUUGUUUCGUCAAGUUUCAGUCAGAAGAAGCGGCGUGUCAUGUCUUGUGUGUUGUUGUAUGAGUUGUUGGUUUUCUCGUCUCGUCUUACCGAAACCUGUUUUCUCUACUCUUUGGACACUUUUUUUUUACCGAUUAACUAGAAUAAAUAUAUAAAUAAAACGAUUUUCACAAAGGAUAUGCGACAUUCUCUUGGAUUUACGUUUAGCAUUUCUCAAAUACGUCAUUUUGAGAAUUCGCGCUACUCUUGUGAUUUUCUUGUUUCUUUCAAGUCUUUCUUUCCAGUCUUAAUUUGGAUAUUUUAGAUGUAGUCCUUUUUCCUACUGCACUUCUUGCGAUAAUUCUGCGAUAAUUCUGACUCAAUUUGCCAACCAAUUGAAAUACUUGCACUAAAGUUAGCUUUUCAUGAGGGUAUAUUUUGGUUGCAGAAUGUGGGAAUUCUCUGUUGGUCUGUACAUGAUUAAUGUCUGGCCGGAUUCGCUGGCCCUUGCUGCUGCUUAUGGUGUGGUGGAAUCUGCCUCCAUGGCAUUAUUUGGUCCUGUUGUUGGACGGUUGGUUGAUAAGUUCACGUACAUCAAGGCUCGUUUCAGUCUCUAUCUUGAGAUGCCUUCUUGAUGGUUGAUGAUGUCAUCCUCAUUGUAGUAUUUGCAUGUCAAAAUGAAGCAAAGGAAUUAAGAGACUUCAAAAAAAAAAUUUUUUAAUUGCAAAGAUUUUGGAUCAAGUCUAGUAUUUGAAAAGGAAAACCUUUAGCUUUGAACCAUACAAAUUCCGAGUGAACAAGAUGACUAUGGUAAAAAAUUAUUUGCUGCAUGUCCAACCAAAGAAUGAAGCCAUGUUGUGGAACGGAAUUUACCUUGCAGAAUCUCUAUCAUGUAGACUUGUGAUUUCUAUCUAUUAUCCACGUCAUGCGCUUAUCCAAUAACAGCAUUUUUAGGGGAAAAAACAGCUAAUGCUUUUUUACUUCUUGUCCUAGGGAAAUGAUACUUAUUAUUCUUCUGUUUUUUAACUUGUAGGUUCUUCGACUUUGGUUAUUAAGCCAAAAUUUCUCCUUUAUGAUUGCUGGAGGCACUGUGGUUGCACUUCUGCUGUAUGAGGAUGUGAAGUCAGAAAAUUUCAUAGUAUUUUUGUCGUUUAUCCUGUUAAUCAAUAUUUCUGGAGCUGUUGGUGUGCUCUCCACUCUUGCUGGAACCAUUCUGGUUGAAAGAGAAUGGUGAACCAUUCUGGCACGUAGUAUCUUGCAUUACUCUUUUGUACAAUCUGUUGCUAAAAUUAGCAUAGCAUCUCAUGAGAGUCAAAUGAUGAACUUGGUUUUGAUGUAUACCUCAUCUUGCUGACCAGUUCGACCAAAGGAUAGCACGUUCCUUGAAAGUCGUAGUAAUUAAUUUAGACAUAUAAAAGAAAAAGAUAUGAUAUUCACAUUUUUCUGCAGGGUGGUUGUGAUAUCAGAAGGUCAACAUCCAGGUGUCCUGACUAAGAUGAAUGCAACCAUUCGGAGGAUUGAUUUAGUUUGCAAGUUAUUUGCUCCUGUAGUCUCUGGUUUCAUUAUCAGCUUUGUCUCUCUAACUGCUUCAGCUUUAACUCUAGCUAUCUGGAAUAUAUUGUCCGUUUGCUUGCAGUAUUGGCUUCUAAUGUCUGUAUACAAUGGAAUUCCUGCUUUAAGUGAAAGCAGUCAAAAGAGGGUUUAUAGAUCUCUGCCAACUGAUUCGGAAAGAAGCUCCUUGACUGAUGAAAGUAGAAACUCUCACUACUUAGGUGAUAAUGAUUUGGAGCCUCUCGACCACGGCUGGAUGAGAAAAGUAAUCGAACGAGUUUCAAGAAUCUCUUACUUCAGGGCAUGGAAAGUUUAUCUAGAGCAAGAUGUGGUUCUGCCUGGAAUUGCGCUUGCUUUUCUCUACUUUACCGUACUUAGGUAAAUUCUUUAAGAUAUUGGCGUUUACAAAUUAUAGUUGUCUGCAUGAAUUUAUAUGUUUUAUUCAUCUCUCUCUCUCCACCCUGCCAAUUAAGCUGAUAAAUAUAUUUAAAUAAUGACCUCUCAUAUCCAAUUUUUUUGUUCACUAAAGAUGUCUUGUUUCUUGACUUAAAAUUACUGAAGGAUGUCUCAAUAAGAAGAGGGAAUGCCUCAUUUUGUAAUCUUUAGGAUCAUGAGAGCAAUAGUAGGAAGUUUGAGGAUGGAAUAUUUCAUGCUUCUGGGUUUAAAUGCCAAUGUGUCUUCAGGACAUAAUCCAUUGUUGCUUGGCAUUUCAGCUUCGGAACUCUAAUGACUGCUGCUUUGGAAUGGCAAGGCAUACCAGCCUAUACAAUUGGGAUUGCACGAGGAAUAAGCGCUACGAUAGGGAUUCUUGCAACUUUUUUGUACCCUGUUUUAGAAUCACAGCUUUCAACACUUCGUACAGGUCUCUGGUCAAUUUGGUCUCAGGUAGUCAGUUCAUUCAUAGUUCUUGGAGCUUACAGGGAAACUUUAUUGCUUUUAUAAGCCUUGUUUUGUGGUGAGUAACUUGCUGAUUCCACUCACUAAUUUAUGGCAUUGGAUGCUUUAUUUAUACAGUGGACUUGCCUAGUGGUAUGUGUAGCUUCAAUUUGGGUCCCGAAUAAACUUGGAGCAGCAUAUUUGCUUAUGGGUGGAGUGGCUCUGUCACGUCUUGGACUUUGGAUGUUUGAUUUAGCAGUCAUUCAGCAAAUGCAGGUGAGUCCUAAUGAAUAUUGCUAACCUGCUUGUCUUUCAGUAGAAUAUGUGGUAAUUUUUUUUUUUUUUUUGGCAAUGUAUGUGGAUAGGAUCAAGUUCCGGAAUCUGAUCGUUGUGUUGUUGGAGGUGUUCAAAACUCUCUACAGUCUGUGUUGGACUUGACCACUUAUGUCAUGGGCAUAAUAAUAUCUAAUCCCCGGGUAAUCUCUCACUUUGUUUUUUCGGUGAACCUUUGCAUGGAAUGUGAAUCUAUUUGCCAGCUCUAUUGAGUUGUCAUUAUACUUGGUCCUUCUUGCAAAUUAUCCACCUCAUAAUUGCCUAGACUUUGACGUGUGGAAAUUGAUCUUCCAUUUAGAGAAAGGAUGGGAAACAUAACGUACGGAAGAUGUCCUCAUCCAGCAACACAAACGCUUGAAAAUAUUCACCUUUAUUUGUGAUCUUGUAUGAGCCUCCGCAUGUUUGUCUCUAUGGGCUUAAUUUUAGCGCACGCUCACACAACUGGCAUAAACACUAAUCAGAGAGGAAGGGACAGGAAAAACAAAUAUUUCAUGCUAAACAUUUUUUUUGGGUCCUCCCGAAAUCUCAAUCUCAAGGUAUUUGUUAGUUCUGUUGAUUUGGGAAAAUUGAAAAGUUCUGCUCUGGUUAAUUUUCCCCUCUUUGGCCGAUGAUAAAAUCACCAAGUUAUACGAAAAUUAACGAACUUUGAAGAUCAACAGCUGAGGAACAUCUUUCGUGGUUCUUUUCACCACAGUAGUCUUGAGGAUUUACAUUUUCCAACUCUUUAAUACGAUCUGCUGCCUUGUUGAUUAGGACUUCUGGAAGUUGAUAAUCUUAUCUUUGCUCGUGGUGACACUGGCUGCAGUACUGUACAGUAUACACAUUUAUCGCGUAAGAAAGCAUCUCUUUCAUUUCGAGAAGCUGUAUCCACUUGUCAGAAUUGUUUUCAGGUCAACUUAUUUUUUGCUUUACUUCGAAACUUGAUACGUAGAUUUGUUUAUUAUGGCACUGCUUUCUGCUGUCAAUUUCCGGCUUGGGUUUUUAAAUAAGCUGGCAUUAGUGUCGAUUCCUGAAGAAUUUAAAGUACAAACUUUUUUCCAUCUGCAUCAAGAUAAUAGUACUCCACCACCACCACCAGAAAACGGCAUGCAUACACACCCCAAGAGAGAGACGAAGGGAAGCCAGGAAGAAAACAUAAUCUUGACCCAGGUGAUGUGUUGCCAUUGGACGAUUUCAAUAAUGUUGCAAGACAACAAAGACGACGGUUGAAAAUGAAUGCAAUUAACAUCAAGGACAUUUCAACUAGAAACCUGCGAAAGGCAUUUUCCUACGUACGUACGUACAUGGAUAGUCUAACAAAUGAUAAGAGUCAAAAGUUGCCUCAGUAUUCGACAACUAAUGCAAAUUUUGGUACAUGGAAUUUGCAACUGUUUGAUCGAAAUGAAUAAGAGAAUUUUACUAAACACGUGCAAAAUAGUUGGCCUAAAGAUAUUUAGUUUAAAAAUAGUGUUAGGACUGGUCCAGGAAUAAACAAACUAAAAUUAGAACAAAAUAGGUGGUAUAAUCGAUCAUAUAAUGAUUAGGCGGUAGACAUCAACCAUAUAAUAAUUAGACGGUAAAAUUGAUCAUAUAAAAGGGUUAUGACAACCCAAUAAAGAUAAAUAACAAAACAAAAUAAAAGACAUCAAAAUUAACGUGAUUCGAUCAAAGUGACCUACGUCCACGGACGAGAAAGGAACAAUAUUUCUAUUAUGAAAAAAAAAUACAAAAGCCGUAAAAAAGUGGUUCAUAAACUAAAAUGACACUUAUAAAAGAUUUAGGAAAUAUUCCUAAACUCAAAAUAAGAAAGUCUAAAAUAUUUGACUAUAAAUGGGUUAGAUGACCCAAGAACCUAAUAACCCAUAUAAUGUUCUCUUGAGUUGUGAACUUAAAACCUUCAUAGACCCCCCUUAUUUAUAAGAAACAAAGGGAGCCUUUCCUUGAACUUCAACUAAUGUGGGAUGGAAAAAUUAUGCCACAAAAAUCAACAUUUUGGGGGUUAAAUAGUCAACAAAUCUCCACCUUGACAUAAUUUCUAGUCCCACUAUCGACAAUGGCAAAACUGCUCCACCUUCUCCAUAUAAGCUCCAAUAGAUCUAAAUCACCAACAACUAACACCAAUCAAGUCCAAGCACUGCUUGAACCUAUAAACUGGAAGAGGCUUUGUAAAAAUGUCAGCAGGAUUCUCUUUGGUACUGAUUUUCUGAACAAGGACUUUCCCUUCCACAGUGAUAUCUCGGAUAAAGUGAUACUUCACAUCAAUAUGUUUCGUCCUCUCAUGAUACAUCUGAUCUUUAGUCAAGUGUAUAGCACUUUGACUAUCACAGUGAAUAACCGUAACACCUUGGUGUAGACUGAACUCGCUAAAUAAAUUCUUCAACUACAAGGCUUCUUUGAUUGCCUCGGUCACAGUCAUAUAUUCUGCUUCUGUAGUAGACAAAGUUACGACAGGUUGUAGAGUAGCUUUCCAACUAACAGCACAACCGCCAAUACAAAAUACAUAGACUGAAAGUGAUCUUCUCCUGUCAAGAUCCCCAACGUAGUCUGAGUCUACAAAACCAACCAAAAUAUUAUUAUUUCUUCCAAAUUUCAAACAUGCAUUUGAAGUCCCUUGCAAGUAUCUGAGAAUCCACUUCACAGCCUGUCAAUGUGAUUUACCAAUGUAAGACAUAUAUCUGCUAACAACAUUAACUGCAUGUGAGAUAUUUGGACGAGUACAAACCAUUGCAUACAUAACAUUGCCGACUGCACUGAAAUAAGGAAUCCGUGUCAUAUAUUCUUCCUCUUCAUCUGACUGUGGUGACUGAGCAGCAGAUACCCGAAAAAUAGAUAGUAAGAGAAAUAGAUACUGGUUUAACAUCUUUCAUGCAAACGCUCCAACACUUUCUCAAUGUAACUUUUUUGGGUCAAGAACAACUUUCCUAUUCCUCGAUCUUGCUUGAUAUCCAUGCCAAAAAUUUUCUUAACUGCUCCCAAAUCUUUCAUUUCAAAUUUACUAUUUAACUGCAAUUUCAAAGUGUGAAUUUUUGACAAAUUCUUGACAGCAAUGAGUAUGUCAUCAACAUAUAUCAACAAAUAGAUAAAAGAUUCAUCAUCUAACUUUUGAAAGUAAAUACAACUAUUAUACAUGCUCCUUGAAUAAUCAUGACCCAACAUAAAGCAAUCAAACCUUUUAUACUAUUGUUUUGGAAAUUGGUUCAAUCUAUAUAAGAAUUUCUUCAACAAGUAAACAUGGUCUUCUUUACAUUCAAUCUCAAAAUUCUAGAGUUGUUUCAUAUAAAUUUGUUCUUUAAGUUUGCCAUGUAAGAAAGCUGUUUUAACAUCGAAUUGUUCUAACUCCAAAUUAUACAUGGCAACUAAAGUAAGCAAAACACGAAUAGAGUUAUGUUAAACAACAGGUAAAAACAUAUCAUUAAAAUCAACACUUUGUACCUGACUAUAGCCCUUUGCAACCAAUCGUGCUUUAUAUCUUGCAUCUUCAACCCCUGGAAUACCUUCCUUCUUCUUAAAAAUUCACUUGCAAUCAACAAUUUUCUUAUCUGAAGGCGAUUUUACAAGAACCCAAGUUUCAUUCUGAUUAAGAGAUUCAAUUUCUUCAUUCAUCGCAAUCAAUCACUUUGCAGAAUCAUCACAAUAAAUUACUUCUGAAUAGGUGGAAGGCUCACCAACUGCAUCAGUUUCUUCUACAACAGACAAAGCAUAUGCAACUAAAUUUGCAUAUCUUUGUGGUGGUCGAAUAUUUCUCCUUGAUCUAUCUCUGGCUAUGGAAUAAUUCUCUUCUUCUGAACUAUCUUCAACAGUAGAUUCAGGUGCAUCUACUGGCAUUUGCUGAACAGAAGAUUUGGUCUGAAAAGAACCAGAAUUGCCAAUAUCAAGCUUCACCUGUUUCUGUAUACUAUCAGUAGUACAAGAACUAGAACACUCCUUCUUGAAAGAUAACAUAAACAAUUCAUCAAAAGUAACAUAUCUACUGAUUACAAAUUUUAGAGAUUUGAGAUCGAAAAAUCAUAAUCUGUAUCAUUUCACCCCAAAAGCAUACUCAAGAAAAAUGCAUAUUUUAGCCUUAAACUCCAAUUUUUCAUCAACUCCAAUUUUUCAUCAUUCACGUGCAUGUAUGUUGGACACCUAAAAAUUUUUAAAUUAAAAUAAUCAGCAUGAGUACCUGAUCAAACUUCCUUAGGAGUUUUGAAAUCUAGAGAUGCAGAUGGAAAACAGUUGAUAAUAUAACAUGUUAUAUUGAUCGCCUCUGCCUAAAAGUCAUUUGUCAACCUUGCAUUGGAGAUCAUACAUCUUGCUCUCUCCAAAAGCGUUCUGUUCAUAGGUUCGGUCACACCAUUUUGUUGAGACGCCAUUCUAACAGUGCGAUGCCGAAUAAUUCCUUCAUUUUUACAGAAUCUAUCAAAUUCACCUUCAUAAAAUUUCAUGUCAUUAUCUGUUUUCAAUUGCUUAAUAUGUUUUUCUGUUUGUUUCUCAAUCAAAACUCUCCAUUGCUUAAAAGUUAGGAAAACAUCAUUUUUUAUGCUUAAGAAAAUAUAUCUAAACUUUCCUUGAAUAAUCAUCAAUGAAAGUCAACAUGUACUUGCCACCUCCUUUAAAAGGAGCACAAGAAGGCCCUUAAAGGUCUGAAUGAAUGUAGUCCAAAAUUCCUUUUAUCCUGUGAACUGUCGGCAACAAAAAACUAACUCUCUUCUUCUUUUCAAAAAUGCAAUGUUCACAGAAUCCCAUCUUUCCAAUAUUUUGACCACCAAGAAAACCUCGUUUGCAUAAAAUAGAUAAGUCUUUCUCGCUCAUGAGCUACAAUUUGGUGAGAUCAGAAUCCGACAAAGUUGAUGUUGAAAUAGUAGCAACACCUAUAAUAGUAGAUCCUUGCAAAAUAUACAAAGUAUCAUAUCUAUGUGCCUUCAUAACAAUAAGAGCACCUUGAGUGAUUUUGAGAAAUUCACCUCCUCAUGAAUAUCUGCACCCAAUAGACUCAAGGUGUCCAAAGAGAUGAGAUUUUUCUUCAAAUGUGGAACAUGGCUAAUAUCUGUGAGCAUUCUCACAAUACCAUCAUAUAUUUUAAUCUGGAUUGUGUUUUUGCCAACAAUUUUACAAAUGGCGUUGUUACCCAUUAAGACAACUCCACAUUCAGUUGAUUCAUAUGUUGAAAAUCAAUCCCUAUUGGGACACAUAAGAUAUGAACAAUUUGAAUCUAUAAUUCACUCAUUGCUAGAUCUAAAAUUAUUUUUCGUUGCACAGAAAAUGAUUUCAUCAUUCUCAUCAAUUGCAAUACCAGUUUCGGUAGUCUCACUCUUUUUUUCCUUUUAUUUUUCUUUAUUUUUCAAUUUAAAACAAUCAGAAAUAAUAUGGCUCUUCUUUUUAUAAUAGUCGCACACCACAUUUUUAUACCUGAAUUUGGAUCUACUUCUAUUUUUUGUAUUUCUCUUUUUAAAUCUACCCUGAACAAACAAGCCAUCGGCUUAACUCCUACUAAUUUUUUCAAUAAUAUCCCUAUCUAUCUACUCUUUAAAUUUUAAUGCAGAUUUAAUUUGUCGAUACGAAAUUAUUUCCUUUUCAUAAAUUAUAGUAUCACGAAAAUGUUUAAAGAACUGGAGAAGGAAACACAAAAGUAAUAGGGUCUGAUAUUCAUCAUCAAUUUUUGAAUCUAUGUUCUCUAAAUCCAUAAUAAUGGAAUCAAAUUUAUCAAGAUGGGAGAGUAUAGAUGUACUUUCAGUCAUCCGAAGCAUAUACAAACUCUAUUUCAGAUAUAGCCGAUUCUCGACUGUCUUUUUCAUAUACAAGGUUUUCAAUUUUUCCCACAUAGGUUUGGCCGAAGUCUUCUUUGCUACUUCCUGUAAAAGUUCAUCAGAGAGAUUCAAAAUUAUGCUGGAUAUAGUCUUCUUAUCUAUAUCAGUAAAAUCCACAUCCUUUACAUCUUCUGACUUGUUUUCAAUUCCUUGUAUUGCCAAAUCAACUCCAUUUUGAACAAGUAUGGCCUCCAUCUUGAGUUGCCACAUUCCGAAGUUGACAUUCCUGUCGAAUUUUUCAAUAACCGUCUUUAUUACCGUCAUCGUUGUCACAAAAUCUGUAACUUAAAUCUUGUCUCAAAAAUUGGUCAAACAAAUAUGCAAGUCUUGUGAGCGGGUCCCACAGAGUGAGCUGACCCACAGAAUGAGUGGGCCCCACGGAUAAACGGUCCCACAAGAUGAAUGGCCCCACGAGAUGAACCUAUCUGACAAAAUAUAUCAACCACCUCUGAUACCA